GCCUCUAUAGCUCAGUGGUAGAGCGUUUCACUUGUAUUUCCAAUACCUUGUACAUGAAAAGGUCCGCGGUUCAAUCCCGCGUGGAGGCA